AUUGAACGCUGGCGGCAGGCUUAACACAUGCAAGUCGAGCGGGGUGAUGGUGCUUGCACUAUCACUUAGCGGCGGACGGGUGAGUAAUGCUUAGGAAUCGGCCUAUUAGUGGGGGACAACAUCUCGAAAGGGAUGCUAAUACCGCAUACGUCCUACGGGAGAAAGCAGGGGAUCACUUGUGACCUUGCGCUAAUAGAUGAGCCUAAGUCGGAUUAGCUAGUUGGUGGGGUAAAGGCCUACCAAGGCGACGAUCUGUAGCGGGUCUGAGAGGAUGCUCCGCCACACUGGGACUGAGACACGGCCCAGACUCCUACGGGAGGCAGCAGUGGGGAAUAUUGGACAAUGGGGGGAACCCUGAUCCAGCCAUGCCGCGUGUGUGAAGAAGGCCUUAUGGUUGUAAAGCACUUUAAGCGAGGAGGAGGCUCUUUUGGUUAAUACCCAAGACGAGUGGACGUUACUCGCAGAAUAAGCACCGGCUAACUCUGUGCCAGCCGCCGCAGUAA
rnacentral:rRNA from 1 species